GAUGAACGCUGGCGGCGUGCCUAAUACAUGCAAGUCGAGCGAAUGGAUUAAGAGCUUGCUCUUAUGAAGUUAGCGGCGGACGGGUGAGUAACACGUGGGUAACCUGCCCAUAAGACUGGGAUAACUCCGGGAAACCGGGGCCACUACCGGAUAACAUUUUGAACCGCAUGGUUUGAAAUUGAAAGGCGGCUUCGGCGGUCAGUUAUGGAUAGACCCGCGUCGCAUUAGCUAGGUGGUGAGGUAACGGCUCACCAAGGCAACGAUGUGUAGACGACCUGAGAGGGUGAUCGGCCACACUGGGACUGAGACACGGCCCAGACUCCUACGGGAGGCAGCAGUAGGGAAUCUUCCGCAAUGGACGAAAGCCUGACGGAGCAACGCCGCGUGAGUGAUGAAGGCUUUCGGGUCGUAAAACUCUGUUGUUAGGGAAGAACAAGUGCUAGUUGAAUAAGCUGGCACCUUGACGGUACCUAACCAGAAAGCCACGGCUAACUACGUGCCAGCAGCCGCCGUAA
rnacentral:rRNA from 1 species